rnacentral:piRNA from 1 species
UCGAUGAGCCGCCUAUGCAAG